AUUGAACGCUGGCGGCAGGCCUAACACAUGCAAGUCGAGCGAGCGGCGGACGGGUGAGUAAUGUCUGGGAAACUGCCUGAUGGAGGGGGAUAACUACUGGAAACGGUAGCUAAUACCGCAUACCAUCAGAUGUGCCCAGAUGGGAUUAGCUAGUAGGUGGGGUAACGGCUCACCUAGGCGACGAUCCCUAGCUGGGCUGAGAGGAUGACCAGCCCCUCUGGAACGGAGACACGGUCCGGACUCCUCCGGUAGGCAGCAGUGGGGAAUAUUGCGCAAUGGGCGCAAGCCUGAUGCAGCCAUGCCGCGUGUGUGAAGAAGGCCUUCGGGUUGUAAAGCACUUUCAGCGGGGAGGCGUUACCCGCAGAAGAAGCACCGGCUAACUCCGUGCCAGCCGCCGCGGUAAUAC
rnacentral:rRNA from 1 species